rnacentral:rRNA from 1 species
UACGUAGGGGGCAAGCGUUGCUCGGAAUCAUUGGGCGUAAAGCGCACGUAGGCGGUCUGUUAUGUCGGAUGUGAAAGCCCUUGGCUCAACUGAGGAAGUGCAUCCGAAACUGGCAGGCUAGAGUACUAAAGAGGAUCGCGGAAUUCCCGGUGUAGAGGUGAAAUUCGUAGAUAUCGGGAGGAACACCGGUGGCGAAGGCGGCGAUCUGGGUAGAUACUGACGCUGAGGUGCGAAAGCGUGGGGAGCAAACAGG